rnacentral:rRNA from 1 species
GACGAACCGUCCAAACGUUAUUCGGAAUCACUGGGCUUAAAGGGUGCGUAGGCGGCGCGGAAAGUUGGGUGUGAAAUCCCUCGGCUCAACCGAGGAACUGCGCCCAAAACUACCGUGCUCGAGGAAGAUAGAGGUGAGCGGAACUUAGGGUGGAGCGGUGAAAUGCGUAGAUAUUGGGAGGAACACCAGUGGCGAAGGCGGCUCACUGGACCGGUACUGACGCUGAUGCGCGAAAGCGUGGGGAGCAAACGGG